rnacentral:rRNA from 1 species
GACGAACGCUGGCGGCGUGCUUAACACAUGCAAGUCGAACGGUGAAGCCUUCGGGUGGAUCAGUGGCGAACGGGUGAGUAACACGUGGGCAAUCUGCCCUGCACUCUGGGACAAGCCCUGGAAACGGGGUCUAAUACCGGAUAUGACCUGCUCUCGCAUGGGGGUGGGUGGAAAGCGUUAGUGGUGCAGGAUGAGCCCGCGGCCUAUCAGCUUGUUGGUGGGGUGAUGGCCUACCAAGGCGACGACGGGUAGCCGGCCUGAGAGGGCGACCGGCCACACUGGGACUGAGACACGGCCCAGACUCCUACGGGAGGCAGCAGUGGGGAAUAUUGCACAAUGGGCGGAAGCCUGAUGCAGCGACGCCGCGUGAGGGAUGACGGCCUUCGGGUUGUAAACCUCUUUCAGCAGGGAAGAAGCGCAAGUGACGGUACCUGCAGAAGAAGCACCGGCUAACUACGUGCCAGCAGCCGCAGUAACAC